rnacentral:rRNA from 1 species
UCGUGGAGUGAUCUGUCUGCUUAAUUGCGUUUCACUUUGAAUCUACAUUUAACGCAUGUUUGUGAGAUGGACUGAUCCCUCCCGCUCUCUGAGUGUUGGAGUUGUGCGUCCUUUCAUUGCCAUCACAUCGUGCUACGUAAGAUUCUGAAAGCAACGAACGUGACCGCAACCUCUUGUUGCCUGUAUCCAACUCAGUUUGUACUUUGUGCA